rnacentral:sRNA from 1 species
UUUUUUUUCUAAGAGUUAAAAAAUGCUUCUGAAGACUUUAUAAGAGUUUUAAAACGAUUUACAAAGGUUUAAAAUCUUUGUAAAUCCUUUUAAAACUCUUUAAAAACUCUUGUAAAUCAUGUUUUACCCUUUUAUAAGCUUUUAACAUCCUUGUAAAUCAUUCUUUACAACUUACUUAUAUUUUAAAAACGAUUGUAAACCAUUCAAACCUUUUUUUAAAUCCCUUGUAAAUCAUUAUUUGACACUUACUUAUGCUUUUAAAAUCCCUUGUAAAUCAUUCAAUACCACUUACUUAUGCUUUAAAACGAUUGUAAACCAUACAAACACUUUUAAAAUCCCUUGUAAAUCAUUCUAUGUCACUUACUUAUGCUUUAAAAACGAUUGUAAAUCAUGUUUUACCCUUUUAUAAGCUUUUAAAAUCCUUUGUAAAUCAUUCUAAUACCACUUACUUAUACUUAAAAAAACAUUGUAAACCAUGCUAACCCUUUUUAAGAAUCCUUGUAAAUCAUUCUAUGCCACUUACUUAUGCUUUAAAAACGAUUGUAAAUCAUGUUUUACCCUUUUAUAAGCUUUUAAAAUCCCUUGUAAAUCAUUCAAUGCCACUUACUUAUGCUAAAAAACGAUUGUAAACCAUGCUAACCCUUUUUAAAUCCUUUGUAAAUCAUUUUAUGCCACUUACUUAUGCUUUAAAACGAUUGUAAAUCAUGUUUUACCCUUUUAUAAGCUUUUAAAAUCCCUUAUAAAUCAUUCAAUGCCACUUACUUAUGCUCAAAAAACGAUUGUAAAUCUUGUAAAACUAUUAUAAAAAGUCUUAAAAUGAUUUACAAAGGUUUAAAAAGGGGUUUUAAAGUAUUUACCUAUGUUUUUAAAGACUUUAGAAAGAUUUUAAGAAGUUUUAAAAUGAUUUACAAGAGUUUUUAGCAACUACCAAAGCUUUUAAAAAACUUUACAAGUUUUUUUAAAAGAGUUUUUAAAAAAUUUACAAGGAUUUUUAAAAGCAUUUUUUGGCUGGAAAAAAAAUAUUUACGAGAAAAAAUUUUGGCGGGAAAUUAUUUUUUGGCGGAAAAAAUACACAAAUGUUUAU